ACUACGGGUGGCAGCAGUGAGGAAUAUUGGUCAAUGGGCGGAAGCCUGAACCAGCCAAGUAGCGUGCAGGAUGACGGCCCUACGGGUUGUAAACUGCUUUUAUACGGGAAUAACGCGCCUUACGUGUAGGGCUUUGCAUGUACCGUAUGAAUAAGGACCGGCUAAUUCCGUGCCAGCAGCCGCGGUAAUACGGAAGGUCCGGGCGUUAUCCGGAAUUAUUGGGUGUAAAGGGCGCGUAGGCCGCAUGUCAAGCGUGCUGUGAAAUGUCCGGGCUCAACCCGGGCCUUGCAGCGCGAACUGGCGUGCUUGAGUCCGCGGAAGGCAGGCGGAAUUCGUCGUGUAGCGGUGAAAUGCUUAGAUAUGACGAAGAACCCCGAUUGCGAAGGCAGCUUGCUGCAGCGGAACUGACGCUGAUGCUCGAAAGCGCGGGUAUCGAACAGGAUUAGAUACCCGUGUAGUC
rnacentral:rRNA from 1 species